rnacentral:rRNA from 1 species
ACUCGAGUGGCGAACGGGUGAGUAACACGUGGGUGAUCUGCCCUGCACUUCGGGAUAAGCCUGGGAAACUGGGUCUAAUACCGGAUAUGACCUCAGGAUGCAUGUCUUGUGGUGGAAAGCUUUUGCGGUGUGGGAUGGGCCCGCGGCCUAUCAGCUUGUUGGUGGGGUUAAGGCCUACCAAGGCGACGACGGGUAGCCGGCCUGAGAGGGUGACCGGCCACACUGGGACUGAGAUACGGCCCAGACUCCUACGGGAGGCAGCAGUGGGGAAUAUUGCACAAUGGGCGCAAGCCUGAUGCAGCGACGCCGCGUGAGGGACGACGGCCUUCGGGUUGUAAACCUCUUUCAGCACAGACGAAGCGCAAGUGACGGUAUGUGCAGAAGAAG